GCAGAAUUAGAAACCAAUAGCUGGAGCAGAGAUGGAUAAGGAUAUGACAGAUAAAAAGGAGGAAGGUCAGCAAAGCAGCAGGUGAAGUCAGGGACAUGUCGCAGAUGGCUAGAAAAGUCGCUAUCCAUCCUGUAGAGGUGUCUACCCAAACUAGACGGUAUUUGGGACUGCGUCCAUUGGGCAUGUGAGUCCAGCUGCUAGGCCAGGGAUGUCCUCUAUGCCAUGGAGUGUGUGAACCAUGAGAGGGCGCCCAAGCAUAAACUUUUGAGCCUCGGGGAUCGCAGCCCAGCAGCAGCCACGUCCAAGCCACCUCUUCUCUACCUCGCCUAGGCUGUGAGAAGACACCUGUGGGUUACGUCAUUACUCGGUGUCCUGUCUGUCAGUCAUAUACACACUGUGUGUGGAACUUAGACUGGUGCGCAGGCCCAAGGCAGGGGGCUCGCCACCUUCUAAGCUUUGGGAAGACUUGUUUGGAUGCAAGAGUCCUCUUAACCUUGGGAGAUAAACACAGACAGAGGGACGAUAAGAUACUGACAGACUCCGGCUGCUGGUUAGAGAAGGCUACAAUCAGCAGGAUAAAGCUGAAGAUUUGAAUCGGGAGCAAAGUUCGUGGAGUCUCCCUGGAGUCAGAUAAGAGGUCUUCGACUUCAUUCCGAGGGAUGGUUGCCAGCAGGGCAAUUUGGCCAAAACUAUCUGGGGGGGAAAAAAAUCUCUUGGUCUGUGAUACAAAGCAAUACAGCUAAAAUCUUCCAAAGGGAUCCUCCCUAUCAGAGAAAAGGGCGAAAAGAAAUUGCCAGCCAGGGAGUUCCGCCACACUCAUCUUGGCAAGGAGAAUUUUCCAAUUUUAGAUUCAAGAAGAAGCCCUGAUCAAUCAAUGAUGACUUUCUCCCUGCCCUUUCAAGGCUUGAUUUGGUGUAUACCGACCUUAAUGGGCCAGUGAUCCUUGGAGGAAAUCCUGGAGGACAUGCCCCCAAGAGUGCCUCUACCAUAGGGGUCCACUUGGGUUGGGUUAGUUUUCUCUGCUGAUUAAAGAGCGAGAAGGCGGGAGAAAGAUUACAGCAAGCGAACAAGUUUUCUCAAAAGCACAGAAUGCACACAUGCGUACACACACACACACACACAAUCACAAAGAGACAGACAGACUGCCCGCAAGUAGGGAGGAGAUUUGGAACUCUAAGUCCAUUUCCCCUGGGAAUGCUGGAUUUUUAGUGGUUUUAGUGGCCUGGGAUAAGUUCUCCCUCCUUUUGGAUUGCCCAGUUUAGAUGCAGAAGAGUGGGCAGAUUGAGUCCCGGCUCAUAUCCAGAACCUGCCUAGGAUGGUCCAGGCAGGUCAGCUGGAAGGGGCCCGCCUGGAGAGAAGUGAAGUCCAAGCCUUUGUCUUGGGUGAAGUUAAGAAGCUGGAAGCAUGCCGUCCAGUUUGAUGAUGGCCUCUUUCCCUGCUGUCUGCCUGUCAGGGUGCUGUAGGACUCCAGUGUUUCCUCAUCCUCACCUGGUAACUGUGGUAGGAAAAGCCAGGCAGUUUCCCUGGAAGCUCCGUGCUUUGGAGACAUGAAAGACCGCCAGGCUCAGAUGGGAGAGACUGGGUUGGCUGUGCCAAUGUUACCACAUAAAGUCUCAAGGCAUGUCUCCCCACA